rnacentral:misc_RNA from 1 species
GAUGAAGAACGUAGCGAAAUGCGAUAAGUAAUGUGAAUUGCAGAAUUCAGUGAAUCAUCGAAUCUUUGAACGCAUCUUGCGCUCCUUGGUAUUCCGAGGAGCAUGCCUGUUUGAGUGUCAUUUAACUUCUCAACCAGACAUCAGAUUAUCUUUUGAUGCUUGGCUUGGAUCUGGGGGUUGUUUGCAGGCCUUCUUGUUCAAGGAGGUCGGCUCCCCUGAAAUGUAUUAGUGGUAUCUGAGGCUAUUGCUAUUAGGUGUGAUAAUUAUCUAUGUCUUUUGGCAUGCCCCAUGAACAGAUUACACUGCUUCCAACAAAAAAAAAAACAAUUUUGAUGAAUUUGACCUCAAAUCAGGUAGGACUACCCGCUGAACUUAAGCAUAUCAAUAAGCGGAGGA